CGCGUAGGCGGUCUUCUAAGUUCCGUGUGAAAUCCCUCGGCUCAACUGGGGAACGGCACGGAAGACUGGAUGGCUUGAGUUCGGGAGAGGGAAGCGGAAUUCCGGGUGUAGCGGUGAAAUGCGUAGAUAUCCGGAGGAACACCAGUGGCGAAGGCGGCUUCCUGGACCGACACUGACGCUGAGGCGCGAAAGCUAGGGGAGCAAAACG
rnacentral:rRNA from 1 species